rnacentral:pre_miRNA from 1 species
CCCUUAACUAUUAAAAGUUUUGUUUUGGUCCCUUAACUUAUUUUUUGGUUUUGUUUUGGUCACUUAACUUAUUUUUUGAUUUCGUUUUGGUCCUUAACUCUAAUACAUUCAUCCUAACAUAAAGGACCAAAGUGGUUGACAGAGGAAGAGUUAAGGGACCAAAACGAAACCAAAAAUAAGUUAAGGGACCAAAAUGAAACUUUUAAUAGUUAAGGGACUAAAACGAAACCCAAAAGUAAGUUAAGGGACCAAAACGAAACUUUUAAUAGUUAAGGGA